UCAGUCUUCUACGUUCGUUUGGAACCUCACAUCCUGGACCUGUAGAUGUCAUGUACAAAAUCAAACUCAUCUUGGUAGGAGCAAACCCAAAAAAUGCUCUCAGUGUCAUUAAUCCUUCAGUAGAGAUGGAGACACCCUAAGGAAGUGAAGAAAAGGAUACAGAAUUGGUUUCUUCAUUGAUUUCUUCCCAGGUUCUAGAUGAAGAUAAACAGAAUGAGAUAUUGCAGCCUGGUAUUAUUCUACUAGAGGACCAAGUUGAGGUUCAAACUCUAGACCAGUUGGGUCAGUUGCAGAAGAAAUCUGCAAAUGAGGCAGUAAGUUACAUUGCCGGAUAUAUUGCCAAGAAAUUGUGUAACAAAAUUGAAGGCCUCAUAUCUGAAACCACAACCAGUAGCUGGAUNAAGUUU